rnacentral:rRNA from 1 species
GACGAACGCUGGCGGCGUGCUUAACACAUGCAAGUCGAACGGAAAGGCCCCUUUGGGGGUACUCGAGUGGCGAACGGGUGAGUAACACGUGAGUAACCUGCCCUUGACUUCGGGAUAACUUCAGGAAACUGGGGCUAAUACCGGAUAGGAAUCCUUGCUGCAUGGUGGGGGUUGGAAAGCUUUGGCGGUUUUGGAUGGACUCGCGGCUUAUCAGCUUGUUGGUGGGGUAGUGGCUUACCAAGGCUUUGACGGGUAGCCGGCCUGAGAGGGCGACCGGCCACAUCGGGACUGAGAUACGGCCCAGACUCCUACGGGAGGCAGCAGUGGGGAAUAUUGCACAAUGGGCGGAAGCCUGAUGCAGCAACGCCGCGUGCGGGAUGACGGCCUUCGGGUUGUAAACCGCUUUCAGCAGGGGCGAAGCUUGUGGUGACGGUACCUGCAGAAGAAGCACCGGCUAACUACGUG